rnacentral:rRNA from 1 species
AGAACGAACGCUGGCGGCAUGCCUAACACAUGCAAGUCGAACGCUCUUGGGAUUUCGGUCUCAAGGGAGUGGCGCACGGGUGAGUAGCGCGUGGGAACCUGCCCUGUUGUGGGGGAUAACCGAGGGAAACUUCGGCUAAUACCGCAUGCGCCCCCGGGAGUGAUCCUGGGGGGAAAGAUUUAUCGCAGCAGGAGGGGCCCGCGUCGGAUUAGGUAGUUGGUGGGGUAACGGCCCACCAAGCCUGUGAUCCGUAGCUGGUCUGAGAGGAUGAUCAGCCACACUGGGACUGAGACACGGCCCAGACUCCUACGGGAGGCAGCAGUGGGGAAUAUUGGACAAUGGGCGCAAGCCUGAUCCAGCAAUGCCGCGUGAGUGACGAAGGCCUUAGGGUUGUAAAGCUCUUUCGCCCGCGACGAUGAUGACGGUAGCGGGAGAAGAAGCCCUGCUAACUUCGUGCCAGCAGCCGC